AAGCGUAAUAGCUCACUAGUCGAGUCGUCCUGCGCGGAAGAUGUAACGGGGCUAAGCACGUAACCGAAGCUUCGGAUAUGCACUUUGUGCAUAUGGUAGAGGAGCGUUCUGUAAGUCUGCGAAGGUGUCCUGUAAGGGAUGCUGGAGAUAUCAGAAGUGCGAAUGCUGACAUGAGUAGCGAUAAAGGGGGUGAAAAGCCCCCUCGCCGAAAACCCAAGGUUUCCUGCGCAACGUUCAUCGGCGCAGGGUGAGUCGGCCCCUAAGGUGAGGCAGAGAUGCGUAGCUGAUGGGAAACGGGUCAAAAUUCCCGUACUUUCGUUUACUGCGAUGUGGGGACGGAGAAGGUUAGGUGAGCCGGGUGUUGGAUGUCCCGGUUUAAGUGCGUAGGCAGAUCCCUUAGGCAAAUCCGGGGGGUUAAUGUCGAGACACGAUGACGGUCUCUCAUUGAGAGCGAAGUCACUGAUACCAAGCUUCCAAGAAAAGCCACUAAGCUUCAGGUAAACGAGAACCGUACCGCAAACCGACACAGGUGGGUAGGAUGAGAAUUCUAAGGCGCUUGAGAGAACUCGGGUGAAGGAACUCGGCAAAUUAGCACCGUAACUUCGGGAGAAGGUGCGCCCCGGUAGGUUGUAGCGAUUUACUUGCGAAGGCCGAUGGGGUUGCAGUGAAAAGGUGGCUGCGACUGUUUAAUAAAAACACAGCACUCUGCAAACACGAAAGUGGACGUAUAGGGUGUGACGCCUGCCCGGUGCCGGAAGGUUAAUUGAUGGGGUGCAAGCUCUUGAUCGAAGCCCCGGUAAACGGCGGCCGUAACUAUAACGGUCCUAAGGUAGCGAAAUUCCUUGUCGGGUAAGUUCCGACCCGCACGAAUGGCGUAACGAUGGCCACACUGUCUCCACCCGAGACUCAGCGAAGUUGAAAUGUUUGUGAAGAUGCAAUCUCCCCGCGGCUAGACGGAAAGACCCCAUGAACCUUUACUGUAGCUUUGCAUUGGACUGUGACGGGACUUGUGUAGGAUAGCUGGGAGCCUGUGAAGCGAGGUCGCUAGAUCUCGUGGAGGCGUCGUUGAAAUACCAGCCUGGUGUCGUUGCGGUUCUAACCUAGGUCCAUUAUCUGGAUCGGGGACCGUGCAUGGUGGGCAGUUUGACUGGGGCGGUCUCCUCCCAAAGUGUAACGGAGGAGUACGAAGGUCUUCUAGGUACGGUCGGACAUCGUACUGAUAGUGCAAUGGCAAAAGAAGGCUUGACUGCGAGACUGACACGUCGAGCAGGUGCGAAAGCAGGUCAUAGUGAUCCGGUGGUUCUGUAUGGAAGGGCCAUCGCUCAACGGAUAAAAGGUACUCUGGGGAUAACAGGCUGAUUCCUCCCAAGAGUUCAUAUCGACGGGGGAGUUUGGCACCUCGAUGUCGGCUCAUCACAUCCUGGGGCUGUAGCCGGUCCCAAGGGUAUGGCUGUUCGCCAUUUAAAGUGGUACGUGAGCUGGGUUUAAAACGUCGUGAGACAGUUUGGUCCCUAUCUGCCGUGGGCGCUGGAUAUUUGACGGGGGCUGCUCCUAGUACGAGAGGACCGGAGUGGACGUGCCUCUGGUGUACCGGUUAUGACGCCAGUCGUAUCGCCGGGUAGCUAAGCACGGAAGAGAUAAACGCUGAAAGCAUCUAAGCGUGAAACUUGCCUGAAGAUAAGAUAUCCCUUGCACCUUGA
rnacentral:rRNA from 1 species